UUCAGAAGCAGGGCAGUGUUCAACAUAAUGGGCCAUCACAAGUUUAUGAAGGUUUUCUUGCACAGCAUCCACACCUAUACUAUUUCCCUCCUUAUGACUUGAGUUGGCUCUCUCAACAAUUUGCUUCAGUGUUAGCCUACCAUGCUGAAGCAAACCCUCGACAAUGUCUACACACAGUUUAUCGAAUUCUUGAGAUAUAAUUGCCAAAAAUUUGGAAAACCUCACACGGUGGAGUAUGUUAUCAAACAAUGCCAAGUACUGAGUACUUUGUUUUGGCGCACUCUGAGAACCACCUGUUUCGUCGAUACGGUAAGCUUGAACGCAAUUGUGCUGGAUUAAGACUAGUAAACUGUUCUUCACUUGCAUCUGAGAGAGCUCAGUGUAUCGGACAAUAGUAUGAAGAGGUAGGGGUCCUUUGCGGAGAAGACAUUCACAAACUUUAGCGACGAGAUUGCCAAAGUGACUGGUGAUGAGGUGGACGGCGUAUCUGAUGCCGUGCUGAGUCUUCACCAUUGUUGUUGCUUGCUGCCCUUUCUG
rnacentral:misc_RNA from 1 species